rnacentral:rRNA from 1 species
GAUGAACGCUGGCGGCGUGCCUAAUACAUGCAAGUCGAGCGAACGGACGAGAAGCUUGCUUCUCUGAUGUUAGCGGCGGACGGGUGAGUAACACGUGGAUAACCUACCUAUAAGACUGGGAUAACUUCGGGAAACCGGAGCUAAUACCGGAUAAUAUUUUGAACCACAUGGUUCAAAAGUAAAAGACGGUCUUGCUGUCACUUAUAGAUGGAUCCGCGCUGCAUUAGCUAGUUGGUAAGGUAACGGCUUACCAAGGCAACGAUGCAUAGCCGACCUGAGAGGGUGAUCGGCCACACUGGAACUGAGACACGGUCCAGACUCCUACGGGAGGCAGCAGUAGGGAAUCUUCCGCAAUGGGCGAAAGCCUGACGGAGCAACGCCGCGUGAGUGAUGAAGGUCUUCGGAUCGUAAAACUCUGUUAUUAGGGAAGAACAUAUGUGUAAGUAACUGUGCACAUCUUGACGGUACCUAAUCAGAAAGCCACGGCUAACUACGUG